UCGGAAUUACUGGGCGUAAAGGGCUCGUAGGCGGCCAACUAAGUCAGACGUGAAAUCCCUCGGCUUAACCGGGGAACUGCAUCUGAUACUGGAUGGCUUGAGUUCGGGAGAGGGAUGCGGAAUUCCAGGUGUAGCGGUGAAAUGCGUAGAUAUCUGGAGGAACACCGGUGGCGAAGGCGGCAUCCUGGACCGACACUGACGCUGAGGAGCGAAAGCCAGGGGAGCAAACGGG
rnacentral:rRNA from 1 species